rnacentral:rRNA from 1 species
GCUGGCGGCGCGCUUAACACAUGCAAGUCGAACGAGUAAAUCUCGAGCUUGCUCGGGAGAGUAAAGUGGCGCACGGGUGAGUAACGCGUGGGUAACCUGUCCUUAAAUUUGGGAUAAUCCACCGAAAGGUGGCCUAAUACCAAAUACAGUCCUGAGAACCAAGGUCCUUGGGAUGAAAGCUGACCUCUUCAUGAAAGUUGGCGUUUAAGGAGGGGCUCGCGUACCAUUAGCUUGUUGGUAGGGUAAUGGCCUACCAAGGCUACGAUGGUUAGCUGGUCUGAGAAGAUGGCCAGCCACACUGGAACUGAAACACGGUCCAGACUCCUACGGGAGGCAGCAGUGAGGAAUCUUGCGCAAUGGGGGAAACCCUGACGCAGCGACGCCGUGUGAGUGAAGAAGGCCUUCGGGUCGUAAAGCUCUGUCAAGUGGGAAUAAAGCCCCGCGGUGAAUACCCGAGGGAUUUGAAGGUACCACUAAAGGAAGCACCGGCUAACUCCGUGCCAGCAGCCGCGGUAAUACGGAGGGUGCAAGCGUUAUUCGGAUUUAUUGGGCGUAAAGAGCGUGUAGGCGGCUGGGAUAGUCAGAUGUGAAAGCCUUCUGCUCAACAGAA